GUUGGAAGAAGUUGACCCUAGGAAAAUGAGACAUGGAGAGAAACUAUCUUUUUGGAUUAAUGUCCACAAUGCACUAGUGAUGCAUGCAUUUUUGGUUCAUGGGAUUCCAAGAAGUAAUCUUAAGAGAACAUCUCUACUUCUUAAGGCAGCUUACAACAUUGGAGGGAAUACAGUAAGUGUAAAUAGGAUUCAGAAUUCUAUACUACGAUGCCAGUUGCCUCGUCC